UACAGAGGGUGCGAGCGUUAAUCGGAAUUACUGGGCGUAAAGCGCGCGCAGGCGGUCUUCCAAGUCAGUGGUGAAAGCCCGGAGCUCAACUCCGGAACUGCCAUUGAAACUGUGAGACUUGAGUACGAGAGAGGUGAGUGGAAUUCCCAGUGUAGAGGUGAAAUUCGUAGAUAUUGGGAAGAACACCGGUGGCGAAGGCGGCUCACUGGCUCGUAACUGACGCUCAGGCGCGACAGCGUGGGGAUCAAACAGG
rnacentral:rRNA from 1 species